rnacentral:rRNA from 1 species
GAUGAACGCUGGCGGCGUGCCUAAUACAUGCAAGUCGAGCGAACAGACGAGGAGCUUGCUCCUCUGACGUUAGCGGCGGACGGGUGAGUAACACGUGUAUAACCUACCUAUAAGACUGGGAUAACUUCGGGAAACCGGAGCUAAUACCGGAUAAUAUAUUGAACCGCAUGGUUCAAUAGUGAAAGACGGUUUUGCUGUCACUUAUAGAUGGAUCCGCGCCGCAUUAGCUAGUUGGUAAGGUAACGGCUUACCAAGGCAACGAUGCGUAGCCGACCUGAGAGGGUGAUCGGCCACACUGGAACUGAGACACGGUCCAGACUCCUACGGGAGGCAGCAGUAGGGAAUCUUCCGCAAUGGGCGAAAGCUUGACGGAGCAACGCCGCGUGAGUGAUGAAGGUCUUCGGAUCGUAAAACUCUGUUAUUAGGGAAGAACAAAUGUGUAAGUAACUAUGCACGUAUUGACGGUACCUAAUCAGAAAGCCACGGCUAACUACGUG